UACGUAGGGUGCAAGCGUUGUCCGGAAUUAUUGGGCGUAAAGAGCUUGUAGGCGGUUUGUCGCGUCUGCUGUGAAAUUUCGGGGCUCAACCCCGAACUUGCAGUGGGUACGGGCAGACUAGAGUGUGGUAGGGGAGACUGGAAUUCCUGGUGUAGCGGUGAAAUGCGCAGAUAUCAGGAGGAACACCGGUGCGAAGGCGGGUCUCUGGGCCGAUACUGACGCUGAGGAGC
rnacentral:rRNA from 1 species